UGUAGCGUCGCUAGUGUUCCUUGUCAUCAGGUUACAUUGGCCGUUGCAUUCUUGUUGAUGUAGUUUGCAUCUCCAUCUCCUCCUACCAUGAUAGUUGGUGACUAGCCAUUCGCGGCUAGAGCUCUUCGAUAUUGCAUCCUUCUCCGUCAAUUUACAUCAGUAUGUGUCAAAUUAAACUUAUUGGCAGGUGCAUUCGAGUGAGAGCUAUCGACACUUGAGUGCUGACCAUAUCUAAACUUAUUCCAGAUUUCGGACUAGGAGAAGCUUUCCGCCCUGUAAGUGUAUAGAUGUAUUCCAGAGCAAGGAAAAAAACACCAAGUGAGAUGUAUUACUUGCCAUUUUACUAAGCAGGUGCAUUCAUAUUAUUUUUAUGUCCUGUUUGACACUGUAUAUAAUUGAUUGCUUUGAAAUGCCUACAUUACGAGAGUACAAUAAAGUACGUUGAGAAUAUUGUUCUUGAUUGAGUAAAAAAACUGAUUUAACUCAUGCUUUUGUGUAUAUUUUUUGCGGAUAAACUCAUGCUUUUGUGUUGACAUACACUCACAUUAUGGAUUGAAGUUCUCAUGAUGGUAAUGAUGAGUGUGCAAGGGCCGUAUAGGUCAGACAUAGGUCUAAUUAACAAAUCACAGAAAGGAGAGGAGGAAGCUGAGCAACACUCCUUUUUCUAUUUGGAACCAGCAUCAUUUAUUGGGUAUGUAGGAAAUUAUUCUUUGCCUCUAUUGGUUGUACCUUAUUCUAUAUUGUACUGCCAGUACCAUGGCAUACCAAUUGUUUGGAUAGAUCAAAAGGCAAGCUAAAGAUCAAUUAGAUAAAUGCUACUGUACUCGCACAUCUCACAUCUCAUUUAGCUUUAUACAUACCUUGUAUCAGCAUUUCUUGAAAACACAUUUAUGCAGUCACACAUCUGACCUUGUUUUUUUUUGAAUUUUGCUUGGUUGGAACUGUAUACAUUUGCGUUGUCUAACUAGUAAUGCUUGUUGAUUGAAUUUGCAGCAUUUGAAUCCUCCUCAGAAGAGAACACGACAUUAGCUAGUGCCAAAAAUGCCAACACAACUUGGCCAUGCUUCUAUCAAGUUGCCUUGGUCCAACCCUUGCAAGCUUCUUCAUCUAUAACAAACAUCAAUCCUGGGAGCACUAGUCAAAGAGUCAGUGUUCUACGGUCUAGCAAAAAGAUAUAGAGGAAGUCACUGCCACUACUCCUACCAGAAGAUUAAUUUUAAGAAUAAAAUUUCUUGUUCUGGCUGCUGAUUAAUUGCCACUGAAUUUAUCCACAUGUUAAUGUCAUAAUUGUUAUUGCUCUGCUACUUAGUUGCUAGUAGAUUUUUUGUUUUCGAAAGAGGCCAGAAUUUAUUUACACAUCUAUGGUAUACAUGUCUCUGACGGUGUCUCUUGUGGGUGCAUUUCUUGAACUACAUAUGUCUUAUGAAUGCUAACUCAGCUGGAGCAUCCAUGUUAAAU
rnacentral:lncRNA from 1 species